rnacentral:rRNA from 1 species
AUGAUCAUAUGCUUGUCUCAAAGAUUAAGCCAUCGAUGUCUAAGUACACACUUUGGUAAAGUGAAACCGCGAAUGGCUCAUUAAAUCAGCUACAAUUUACUUAUGAUCGUACACUGUUACUUGAGUAACUGUGGGAAUUCUAGAGCUAAUACAUGCCUGAGAGUCUCUGCUCUUCAGAGGGCAGAGCGCAGUUAUUACGACCAAAAUCCAGUCCAUAUCUUUCAGGAGAGUAUGCUCUUUUGGUGACUCUCGGAUAACCUUCAGCCAUCGCAUGGCCUAGUUGCCGGCGAGAUAUCUUUCAAGUGUCUGCCCUAUCAACUUCGAUGGUACGUGAUAUGCCUACCAUGGUGAUAACGGGUAACGGGGAAUCAGGGUUCGAUUCCGGAGAGGGAGCCUGAGAAAUGGCUACCACAUCCAAGGAUGGCAGCAGGCGCCGCAAAUUACCCACUCCCAGACUUGGGGAGGUAGUGACGAAAAAUAACAAUGCGGACUCUAAGAGGCCCGUAAUUCGGAAUGCAGUACACCUUAAAUCGUUU